UAAUGCUAGGGUCGAAAAGUCGCAAGCUGAUCAUGCUUGCAUGAGGAAGUUUGUGACCUUGAGACCCGUAAAAACAUGAGGAUGCAGCGAUUUUCGAAGAAAAUCAGCGAAUCCUCAUGUUUUUAGAAUUGCGAGAGUUCUCAGCAACGGAGCAAUUCGUAAGCAUUA
rnacentral:sRNA from 1 species